rnacentral:tRNA from 1 species
GCCCUUUCGUCUAGUGGUAAGACAUCAGAUUUUCAGUUUGUAGACGAGAGUCGAUUCUCUCAAGGGGCA